GAUACGCGCGUGUGCAAUUCAUCGGAGUUAUUUCUUCCGCCGCAAUUGGCGCUGCGGUCUAUGUCGUGUGCUGCUUGUCAAGAUUUCUUUUACUCUUUACCGAAAAUAAUUAACAGGAAAAAUGUCCGCGUGGAGGCAAGCAGGACUGAAUUACAUCAAUUACUCUCAGAUCGCAGCUAGGUUAGUCAGACAAGCUUUAAAGGCAGAUUUCAGGGCAGAGGCUGCUAAACGUGAUGAAGUCAAUGUGAAGUUUACUCAAUGGAAAGAUGGAAAACCCGUCAAAAAAGAUGCCUAAAUGACAAUAUCACAGAUGGAUGCAGGAGUCACCCAAUAUACAUUUAUAGUCAUAACAAAGGAUGGCAAACUACAACCUCGUCCAGUAAGGCAAGGUGUACAGGGCAAUGCUCUGUACACAAUUUGAAGUAUGACGGCUCAGUCACAGUACACUCUACCCAUCGUAUCACACCCACACUUACAACAGGAAAUCUGUAAUAAAUUUAUUAAUAAAAAAAAUCUUCCUUC